GAAGCCAUUUUGAAAUGCAACCAGCAGACGCCAGCCACGUGCCUUCCCAGCUGACCGAGUAUUCUGGACACCAUCGGCCGUUCUUCAGUGAAGGUGCCCUCUUGUUGAUGCCUUAGUGUGGACAGCUUUAUGGAUUUAGAACUGCAAAUCUGUAACCUAAUAAACCCCCUUUAUAAAAGCUAAUCCAUUUCUGGCAUUUGGCAUAACCGCAGCUCUAGCAAACUGGAACAACCAGUAAAUGACUCGGCAACCCUUUGGGGAUGUAAGACUGCAAAGAAAAGCCUGAGAACCAGCUCCCGAGCCCACCCACUCCCCACCCCACCCCGGCCCACCCGCACACAGUGGGGCUGCUCACAGUUGCUUCCCGGGGUUCAGCGAGCCCAUGUCGAUUUCCCGGUCAAAGUCAGUGCGGAUGUCAUCGAGCGUGCCGUCGUCCCCAAAAGCCCCCCACUCCAUGUUGACGCACAUGCGCCCCUCGUCGCCCUCCACCAUGUCGAUGUGGCGCAUCUCCUCCAUGUAACAGGCAUUGCUGCCCGUGCCUGGCAAAGCAAGGGGCUGCUCAGCACCCACCCGCUCCACCCUCACCCCCAACUGUCCCACUGUGGUGGGGACUCCCCACUGCAGACCCCUGGAGGCCCCAGGCAUGUCCUGAUCCUCUACAGCCCAAACUGCAUGAGCAAACAGAACACGGGGCUCAGCCUGCUCGUGGCCUUAACAUUCACCCAGCAAUUUCCUCCUGCCCUCUUCUCAGCGCGGAAACUGAGGGCUGUCAGAGCGUCAGCUUAUAGGAAUUCUGGGUUACCCACCAUGGCAUCCAGGCCAGGCCCUCCAAAGGGACCACACACUCUGUCUUCAAAUGCCAAGUACAAAGGAACACCCAGGCCACGUGACCCUCCUUCCUACCCAGCACACACCCCCAACUCACCCACAAUGAGCCCGAUCUCGCAGUUUUGGUCGUCGUAGCCACACGUCAUCAUGGUCCCCACCGUGUCGUUCACCACAGCCACAAUAUCAAUAUCAAAGUCCUGUGGGGGUGAAAGGGAGGGUUCUGGGCAUGGAGGCUUAGAGAUAAAGAGCAGCACAGCUCCAGUGCAAUGGCAGGGCCCCCUGGCCAAGCCCACUCAGACCAAGGAGGUGAGUGAGAGCUGAAGUCUGAGUCCAGAUCCAGUCUGACAGCAGCAACUGGCUCCCAUCCCACUUACCCUCAUCACCGAAGACUUUGCUGAUCCUUGCCCCCGAGGUCUUGUCUGGAGCCAUUACUGCACUAAGAAGAGACUGUCUGAUCUUCUCUUUGUCUCCCUCUAUCCCAAUAACUGCUCCCAUGAUACGAUCUGUAUCUUGCUCUAUCUCCCAUUUCAUCCUGGUGUCAAUGUCAUCCCUAUUUUCUUACUCAACAGUGAUACUCAAGUCUUCUUCAGGUUGAGGACCAAAGGGCUUUUCCUGCACUGAGGCUAAGAUUAUUUACUCAGUGUGCUCAUCUUAAAAUCCCAAGGGCUUCUGAUCACACACAAGAUUAUUGGAAAAACUUGUCUAGUCUUUCCUGGGGGCAAUUCAAAGAAUUUAUCUUUGCUAACUUCAAAAUGGAGUCAAGAGUCAAGAGUGCUGAAGAAUCAACAGGGUUCUGUGGACGGGCAGCCUCACACCCAGGAUUUUGCUGAGGGGAUGGCAGCUCCUAAGCCUGCUAACCUGCAUUAGAAACAGCCAGAUUCAAAGUCAUCCAGGGAUUUCCGUCAGCCCCCAGACCCUUGCCUUUGCUUUGCCUUCCUUCUCGGCAGCUCAACAACCUCAAGAGAGGGGCAACCCCGUGGGUCUUUAGAAGCCCGGGCCAGGGGCAUUGUGGUGCAAAGAAAGCAAGCAGGGGCCAAGGACGCUGAGCAAAUUCCAAAGGCCAGCUGGGCCAUGUGGCAAAAUCUAAAAAGCCAAGGCAGUGGUGGGGAGGGACAACCUUCCUCUUCCUCUCCAGGGAGAAGCAGAUUCCACGAAACCAGACGUUCUCAAAAGGGUGGCCCAGCAGCAAUUCCAAAAGAUGGAUAAAGCAAAGAUCAGGCAAUGCCAGGGCUCUCUUGCCAAGAGAGGACACCAGUGCCCAGGUGCCAACUCCCCUUGCAGAUUAAAAUCAAGCAUUUUAAUAUUCAAAUGUGAUUUCUGGAGAGAUAUUCAGCAAUAUCUGCUCUUCUGAUGGGAAGUGGAUAGGAGACCAGUAUGAUUAAACAAAUUCCCAGCAUCUUCUUCCUGGUACUCUAGUCAUAUGAUCUUUAAUGUAAAUAAUUGUUAUUCAGAAAAAGGGAAGUGGUAGAAGCUGUGCAACCAGAUAAGGCCAAUUGUCAGAGAUGGGGGUGUCUUAAAAGCAAAUAGUUCCCCCCACCCAGACAUGAACCACUUCUCCUUUCCAGCUCGACGAUAGGAUACCCACAGGAGGCAGGGAAAACCUGGGGGCAGUGAGAAAGCAUUAAGUCCCGUGCCACUUCCCACAGUAACCACUAACCACCUGCGGCUAUUUAAAUCAACUGGAAUUUUAAAAAAGGAAAAAUUCAGUUCCAUGGUCACACGAACCAUGUUUCAAGUGCUCAGCAGCCAUGGCUGGCUUAGUGGCCAUGGAAGAUACAGGAAGCAGUUCCACCAUUGUAGAAAGUUCCAUUGGACAGUUCGGGGUUAGAAGAACCCGCAUCUCUUUUAAAAAGUAGGGAACAGGAGACCCUCUGCUUCCUUGAAUUGAAAGGCUCUCUCUUUCCCUGCUAACCGAGGACCUCAAGGAGAAGAUGCUGGUUGAAAGAGCUAACACCCCCGCUGGCCAUAAAAAGGCUCAAAGGGCAUCGUUUAAUAAAGUUACAAAGGUUUCAUUUUC